CCUGGUGGCUGAGCAGUAAAGAAUCUGCCUGCAAUGCAGGAGACGCAGGUUCAAUUCCUGAGUCAGGA
rnacentral:tRNA from 1 species